rnacentral:rRNA from 1 species
GACGAACGCUGGCGGCGUGCCUAAUACAUGCAAGUCGAACGCUUCUUUCCUCCCGAGUGCUUGCCCUCAAUUGGAAAGAGGAGUGGCGGACGGGUGGGUAACACGUGGGUAACCUACCCAUCAGAGGGGGAUAACACUUGGAAACAGGUGCUAAUACCGCAUAACAGUUUAUGCCGCAUGGCAUAAGAGUGAAAGGCGCUUUCGGGUGUCGCUGAUGGAUGGACCCGCGGUGCAUUAGCUAGUUGGUGAGGUAACGGCUCACCAAGGCCACGAUGCAUAGCCGACCUGAGAGGGUGAUCGGCCACACUGGGACUGAGACACGGCCCAGACUCCUACGGGAGGCAGCAGUAGGGAAUCUUCGGCAAUGGACGAAAGUCUGACCGAGCAACGCCGCGUGAGUGAAGAAGGUUUUCGGAUCGUAAAACUCUGUUGUUAGAGAAGAACAAGGACGUUAGUAACUGAACGUCCCCUGACGGUAUCUAACCAGAAAGCCACGGCUAACUACGUG